rnacentral:rRNA from 1 species
GACAAGGUGUUCCGUCUCGGUGAUCCAGGCGGGGGGGCUCAUUA